rnacentral:rRNA from 1 species
GACGAACGCUGGCGGCGUGCUUAACACAUGCAAGUCGAACGGAAAGGCCCUGCUUUUGUGGGGUGCUCGAGUGGCGAACGGGUGAGUAACACGUGAGUAACCUGCCCUUGACUUUGGGAUAACUUCAGGAAACUGGGGCUAAUACCGGAUAGGAGCUCCUGCUGCAUGGUGGGGGUUGGAAAGUUUCGGCGGUUGGGGAUGGACUCGCGGCUUAUCAGCUUGUUGGUGGGGUAGUGGCUUACCAAGGCUUUGACGGGUAGCCGGCCUGAGAGGGUGACCGGCCACAUUGGGACUGAGGUACGGCCCGGACUCCUACGGGAGGCAGCAGUGGGGAAUAUUGCACAAUGGGCGGAAGCCUGAUGCAGCAACGCCGCGUGCGGGAUGACGGCCUUCGGGUUGUAAACCGCUUUCGCCUGUGACGAAGCGUGAGUGACGGUAAUGGGUAAAGAAGCACCGGCUAACUACGUG